rnacentral:rRNA from 1 species
UGAAGCUGGAAUUGCUAGUAAUGGCAGGUCAGCAUACUGCCGUGAAUACGUUCCCGGGCCCUUGUACACACCGCCCGUCACACCAUGAGAGUUGGAAAUACCCGAAGCCUGUGAGCUAACUUAAAGAGGCAGCAGUCGAAGGUAGAGCCAAUGAUUGGGGUGAAGUCGUAACAAGGUAGC